UACGAAGGGUGCAAGCGUUAAUCGGAAUUACUGGGCGGAAAGGGUGCGUAGGCGGUUCGUUAAGUCUGUCGUGAAAUCCCCGGGCUCAACCUGGGAAUGGCGAUGGAUACUGGCGAGCUAGAGUGUGUCAGAGGAUGGUGGAAUUCCCGGUGUAGCGGUGAAAUGCGUAGAGAUCGGGAGGAACAUCAGUGGCGAAGGCGGCCAUCUGGGACAACACUGACGCUGAAGCACGAAAGCGUGGGGAGCAAACAGG
rnacentral:rRNA from 1 species